UCCCUAAUAAUCCCCAUAACCUCCAUAAUCAUCACCACCAUAAUCAUUACCACCAUAAUCAUUACCACCAUAAUCAUUACCACCAUUAUCAUUACCACCAUUAUCAUUACCACCAUUAUUACUAGCGUCAUAUGUGGAUCCACCGCCGCCACCGUAGCCCCAAUCGCUUCCUGGCUCAUAAGAAGCGGCCGACUCCUGCGGGGAGGGACCCACUCGGACCCUGAGGACUCCUGCCUGGCAGGCACGUCAGGAGGCACUUCGGACCUGCAGGACUCCUGCCUGGCAAACGGGUCAGGGGGUAGUUCGGACCCGGAGGAAGAUGAAGAAGUGCUCCUCGACAAAGCCAGAAGAGCUUCCUCUUCUAGCGCAAGAAGGAGAAGCCCUUCUUCGUUACCCUUCUCCUCUUCUUUUUCACUCUCUUCAUCUUCUUUCCCGCCCAGUUUGUGCCUCCUCCUCCUCUUCCCAACCCCUCCUUUCUUCUUCUUGUCUCUCUUUCCUGCCUUUAACACAAGACCCGCAGCUUUGCUCCCAAGUCUGCCUAUUCUCGAGUUUGAGAAGAUACGACUCAAUCUACCACUUCCUCCACCUACUCUACCAUUACCUCCACCUAGUCUACCACUAUUUUCAGCUAAUCUACCACUACCUCCAACUAAUCUACCUCCACCUCCAUCUACUCUACCACUACCUCCACCUACUCUACCACUAUCUCCUACUAAUCCACCACCACUUCCAGCUACUCUACCACUACCUCCAUCUACCUUAAUAAUUUUACCAACGCUUCCACCUUCUCCACCUAAUUUACUUCUGCUUCCACCUCCUCUACCCAAUUUACUUUUGCUUCCGCCUCCUUCACUCAAUCUACCACUGCCUCCAACUUUUCCAUCCAAUCUACUUUUGCUACCACCUUCUCCAUUCAAUCUACCACUUCCAAAUCUUCCAUCUAAUUUACUUUUGCUUCCACUUCCUCCAUCUAAUUUACCACCACCCUCAACACCUCCACUUAAUUUAUCACCGCCGCCUCCUCCGCUUACUUGA
rnacentral:lncRNA from 1 species